rnacentral:rRNA from 1 species
GACGAACGCUGGCGGCGUGCUUAACACAUGCAAGUCGAACGGUGAAGCGCCUUCCUUUUUGGUGGGUGUGGAUGAGUGGCGAACGGGUGAGUAACACGUGAGUAACCUGCCCCCUUCUUCUGGAUAACCGCAUGAAAAUGUGGCUAAUACGGGAUAUUCUGGGUCUGUCGCAUGAUGGGUCUGGGAAAGAUAUUGUUUCGGUGGGGGAUGGGCUCGCGGCCUAUCAGCUUGUUGGUGGGGUGAUGGCCUACCAAGGCGGUGACGGGUAGCCGGCCUGAGAGGGUGGACGGUCACACUGGGACUGAGACACGGCCCAGACUCCUACGGGAGGCAGCAGUGGGGAAUAUUGCACAAUGGGCGCAAGCCUGAUGCAGCGACGCCGCGUGAGGGAUGGAGGCCUUCGGGUUGUGAACCUCUUUCGCCAGUGAAGCAGGCCUGCCUCGUUUGUGGGUGGGUUGACGGUAGCUGGAUAAGAAGCGCCGGCUAACUACGUG